rnacentral:misc_RNA from 1 species
GAUGAAGAACGUAGCGAAAUGCGAUACGUAAUGUGAAUUGCAAAUUCAGUGAAUCAUCGAGUCUUUGAACGCACAUUGCGCCCCCUGGUAUUCCGGGGGGCAUGCCUGUCCGAGCGUCAUUGCUGCCCUCAAGCACGGCUUGUGUGUUGGGCCCCGUCCUCCGAUCCCGGGGGACGGGCCCGAAAGGCAGCGGCGGCACCGCGUCCGGUCCUCGAGCGUAUGGGGCUUUGUCACCCGCUCUGUAGGCCCGGCCGGCGCUUGCCGAUCAACCCAAAUUUUUAUCCAGGUUGACCUCGGAUCAGGUAGGGAUACCCGCCGAACUUAAGCAUAUCAAUAAGCGGAGGA